rnacentral:rRNA from 1 species
GACGAACGCUGGCGGCGUGCUUAACACAUGCAAGUCGAACGGAAAGGCCCUGCUUUUGUGGGGUGCUCGAGUGGCGAACGGGUGAGUAAAACGUGAGUAAACUGUCCUUGACUUUGGGAUAAAUUCAGGAAACAGGGGCUAAUACCGGAUAGGAGCUCCUGAUGCACGGUGGGGGUUGGAAAGAUUCGGCGGUUGGGGAUGGACUAGCGGCUUAUCAGCUUGUUGGUGGGGUAGUGGCUUACCAAGGCUUUGACGGGUAGGCGGCCUGAGAGGGUGACCGGCCACAUUGGGACUGAGAUACGGCCCAGACUCCUACGGGAGGCAGCAGGGGGGAAUAUUGCACAAUGGGCGGAAGCCUGAUGCAGCAACGCCGCGUGCGGGAUGACGGCCUUCGGGUUGUAAACCGCUUUCGCCUGUGACGAAGCGUGAGUGACGGUAAUGGGUAAAGAAGCACCGGCUAACUACGUG